CAUAUGAGCAUCACAAGGGGCAAUUGCCCCGGCUGAAAAAAAUUAUUUAUACUAUUUUGAUUAUUAAUUUUUAAAUUUUUUGAAAUAUCCUCUAUAUAUGUCCCUUCUAUAAUUCUUAAAAUAUCUUUAUAUGUAUUUUUGCCCCAUUUAUAUAGAAUUUCUGGCUCCGUUCCUGGGCGUUUCUCUUGGGAUUUUGUUAUGGCUGGAUCUUUAUUUUGCACUAUCUCACAUGAUGGCUUGAGCAGGAAAUUUUAUUGGUUUCGACAUUCUAUCCAAUCUGUUUACAAUUUUGUUUUCAGUGCUGUUGAUAAAUUCAAGAAGCAAUUUGCAUAUCUCGAGGAGCAUUAUGGAAAUGGAGCUGCCGCCCCACCCGAGAGACAGCACUAGUCAUCUUUGCCUCGGUGCAGGCCAGGUGUAUUAUAUUCUGACUAUUCGAACCCGGCACCUGCUGAGCUUGCCAAUGAUCUCUCUAAAUGUUCCAUUGAAGAAGCUGAGACACGAUUUCCUGGCCAAGUCCCUCAAAAUUUCCAAGCUGGGGCAGCUGCAAGGCCCGGGAAGGUGAUCGGUUCAGUUCUGCGUUACAGUAAUUGUGGGAGCGACAGCAGCAUCAGCAGAGACUACAGAACAGAGAAAAGUAGUUAGGAAUCCUGCUCAAUAUCUCGUUCCCGGCUCAUCUUACCCAAGGAAGCACCCGAGCUGUAAAAAUGAAAGGGGUGAGGAUGGCCCCGAAGGAUCCAAUGGGAUGCAGCCCAAACCCGAUCUGUACGUUGGUAGAAAAGUCGAUGCCCUAGGUGGAAAUGGUAGCCACUGGUAUUGAACUUCAAGGGUAGACGUCAACUGCUGACGGACUGAUUCCAUUUGCCAUAUUCAAGGUCGUACGAGGUCGUUUAAUCAAAUGCACAUCCAAUCUACGUUGAAUUUCAGGAAAAAUAUGCUAACUCCUCCAAUAGACUCUCUUGUUUAACUUGCAAGAUGCUGAGGUAAACUAGAAAUGGCUGUAUAGUCAGCAAUCGCCACUUCCAUGAAUACUUCUCCCCCCGUGCUCAUCGAUGUCCCUUCAGAAACAAGUUAGGCAUUGGGAAGAAAGACUGUGUUUGUAAUAUUAAUAAGUGAAAUUCGAAAAAUCGACAUCGAUUCAAGAACUCAGAGAGGAAAGUAUGGCCUUUCAUGUUGCGAAACUGCAGAGGUGUUCUGUGUUAGAGGACGUCCGGCUCGGACGUAGGCGACGGGCGACUGGACGUCCGCCAUUGUGGAAAAUAAGGUCGGAUACGCCCAUGCAGGUAGGACGUCGCACGUCCUCGGAUAUCCGCAGGACGUCCGAGUCGACGGGCGCCAUUGUGGGAGGGGGGGGUCGGACGUCCGGUCGGACGUCCGGUUUUUUUUGGAUUUUUUUCCCUUUUAUUAUGUAAUUUUUCCGUAUAUCCGAGUCGGACAACUAUGUAUUACAUAAUUUUUCCGUAUUCCGUGUCAAAAUUAUAAUUCUGUUAAAUAAUUGUGAUUGAUUUUA